GAUGAACGCUGGCGGCGUGCCUAAUACAUGCAAGUCGAGCGAACAGACGAGGAGCUUGCUCCUCUGACGUUAGCGGCGGACGGGUGAGUAACACGUGGAUAACCUACCUAUAAGACUGGGAUAACUUCGGGAAACCGGAGCUAAUACCGGAUAAUAUAUUGAACCGCAUGGUUCAAUAGUGAAAGACGGUUUUGCUGUCACUUAUAGAUGGAUCCGCGCCGCAUUAGCUAGUUGGUAAGGUAACGGCUUACCAAGGCAACGAUGCGUAGCCGACCUGAGAGGGUGAUCGGCCACACUGGAACUAAGACACGGUCCAGACUCCGACGGGAGGCAGCAGUAGGGAAUCUUCCGCAAUGGGCGAAAGCCUGACGAAGCAACGCCGCGUGAGUGAUGAAGGUCUUCGGAUCGUAAAACUCUGUUAUUAGGGAAGAACAAAUGUGUAAGUAACUACGCACGUCUUGACGGUACCUAAUCAGAAAGCCACGGCUAACUACGUG
rnacentral:rRNA from 1 species